AUUGAACGCUGGCGGAAUGCUUUACACAUGCAAGUCGAACGGCAGCACGGGGGCAACCCUGGUGGCGAGUGGCGAACGGGUGAGUAAUACAUCGGAACGUGCCCAGUCGUGGGGGAUAACGUAGCGAAAGUUAGGCUAAUACCGCAUACGAUCUAAGGAUGAAAGCGGGGGACCGUAAGGCCUCGCGCGAUUGGAGCGGCCGGUGUCAGAUGAGGUAGUUGGUGAGGUAAAGGCUCACCAAGCCGACGAUCUGAAGCUGGUCUGAGAGGACGACCAGCCACACUGGGACUGAGACACGGUCCAGACUCCUACGGGAGGCAGCAGUGGGGAAUUUUGGACAACGGGCGAAAGCCUGAUCCAGCCAUUCCGCGUGCAGGAUGAAGGCCCUCGGGUUGUAAACUGCUUUUGUACAGAACGAAAAGGUUUCUACUAAUACUAGGAGCUCAUGACGGUACUGUAAGAAUAAGCACCGGCUAACUACGUGCCAGCCGCCGCCGUAA
rnacentral:rRNA from 1 species